UUUUAGACCCCCUUUGUCCCACUCUUUGCCAAUAAAAGUCCCAUUUCCUCAAGACUCAUCAUGAAUGCACAUUUCUCUGUGACAUGCCUUUGCUGCUGUCCUUGGUCAGAAUGACUCUUCAUUCGUGUAAUUCUUGCUACUUGCUCAAUCCAGCUCAAAUGCUGCUCCUUCUCAGAAGCCUUCCCUGUUCUCUCCCUCCCUGCACAGAUAAUUGUUUUUCCUGGUUCUGGCCCUUCAUCACUCUGCUGUUGCACCUUCUUCAGUGUCUGUGUUCUGAUCAGACUGUGGGCUACUGGAAUGCAGGCACCAGCUUGAGUCAUCCUUGUGAAUCUGGGGUCUUCUGCCGAGUGGGUGGUUGAUAAGUGUUGGUUGAGUUGACUUGAGCCUCUCCUACAAGAUGACUCGUAAGCCCAGUGUGGGGUAAUAUACAGAGGUCCAGGAGCCAUGCCUCUUUUCCCCUCUGGGCUUGUGUUGGGUGGCAUUUGGGCACGAGGGCCUCUCCUAGCCCUCCUAGCUAGCUUCAACAUCAUAAGCGUCUUGAACGCAGUGUUACCUGAAACAGAUUUUACAUCCUACCUCUCAUUUUACAGUUUCAGAGACUCCUCCACUCUCUGGGAAUGGCACGGACUCCCUCUUCUGCGACAGUGGCAGCUCGGCAACUAGCGCUCCGUGUGUGUCCCGCCUGGUCGCUGGCCACCAACUGUGGGCCAGCAAGAAUGGCCGCCACGUCCUGGGCCUGAUUGAGGACUAUGAGGCCCUGCUCAAACAGAUCGGCCAGGGACAGAGGCUCCUUGCUGAAAUGGACGUUCAAACCCAAGAGGCUCCCAGCUCCACAAGUCAAGAGCUGGGAACAAAGGGUCCAUACCCAGCACCACUGAGCAAGUUUGUGAGCAGUGUGAGCACAGCCAAGCUGACCCUGGAAGAGGCCUACAGGCGGCUGAAGCUUCUCUGGAGAGUCUCGCUCCCCGAGGAUGGCCAGUGUCCCCUUCACUGUGAGCAGAUUGGAGAAAUGAAGGCAGAGGUCACCAAACUACAUAAAAAAUUGUUUGAACAAGAAAAGAAGUUGCAAAACACCAUGAAGCUUUUGCAGCUGAGCAAGCGCCAGGAAAAAGUCAUCUUUGAUCAGUUGGUUGUAACCCACAAAAUCCUUCGGAAGGCCAGAGGAAACCUGGAGCUUAGGCCUGGGGGAGCCCAUCCAGGAACAUGCAGUCCCAGCAGACCAGGCUCCUGAGAAGAACUUUCAGCCAAUAAAGCUUGUGCUUCCCCCA
rnacentral:sRNA from 1 species